rnacentral:pre_miRNA from 1 species
UCAUCUAGGGCCUGAUCCAAAACCCAAGUGAAGUCAAUGGGAAUUUUUUCCAAUGGCGUCACUGGGCUUUGGAUCAGGCCUCUGAUGA